AACAACUGAAAUUGGCUUAAAGCAGUGGGUGUGUAAGUGGCAUUUGGGUGGCUGGUGGGCUGAGCCAGGUCCCACUGCCGGUGGUCUGCACAGGGUCAGGGAAGGAUCUGGUGGGGUCUGGCUGGGCUGGGGAGGCCAGCCCUGUCCAGCCCCACAGUUGCAGGGUCUGAGCCAGUGACUGCCUGAGAAACCCCUGCCCCAAGACUGUCCUCAGAAUGCACAAAAGGGAAGGGGCCUUUGGAAUGCCCAGGCCACACCUCUGCCCAGCCCCUUCCUUCCAGAGACAGCUCCUUGGGUCCCUGAUGUCCCGCAGGCCGCAGGAGGUGGCCCAGACCCUGGCAGCCUAGCUAGAGGUAGCCGAAGAUGUUGAAAAUGGGUGGGGGCAUGGCUGGCUUGAGUGGGGAUAGGCUUCAGAACCACGGGUCUGUAGCCACCUUCUGCCCUGGGCCAUCCACGCGCUUGCAGAAGUGGGCCUGCUCUGGGGGCAAAGCUGGGCUUUUCCUCCACAGGCCAAGGCUGGGCAUGGGGCUCGGAGGCAGGGCCCCUGGAGGGCCAGGGUAGAUAGGCUGUCGAUGGUACUGGAAGGGGCAGCAGCUCCAAGCAUCAACACAGCCGACCAGGGAGACCCCGGGCAUCUUGAGUGGGCUCCUUGUCAGCUAGUGCCCUUGGGGACAUGGGCCCUGGGGCAGCCUCAGGCACCAUGGACUCCAAGCCCUUGCAAUUUUUUCUUACUCUCAUAGGGAGAUCGGCUCCCUAGGGCCCAGUCCCCCCUCCAGCCCCAUGGCGUAGCUGUGGGUGGGCCUCGGCCUCUUCCCAGAAGGAAGCAGGCAGCUGCCUCUUUCCGCAUGGGCACCUGGCCAGGCUUGGCAGCUCCUGGGCCCUGGAGGUUCUGCUCCUUGGAAAGACAUUCCUCCCCAAAGGGACUCCCCAAAGCCUCUCCCUUGCAGCCCCCACCCCCACCAGGGCUGGAAUCGGGGCCGGGAUGGAGGGCCAGCGCCGGGCCGGUCCUGGGGUCCCCUUCUCAGGUGAGGCCUCAGCUGCCCUGCCAGGAAGGCCCCUUGGGAGCCGGGGAGUACUUCAUGCGAGAAGCGCUUGAGCUGCUUCUGCAGGUACUUGCGGUGGUCCACAGAGCGGCGGUGAGGGUGCGGACUUGUCCAGGGCGGCCUUGAUGUCGCUGGACGCCAGGUUGACGAAAUUCAGCAGCAUCUUCACAUCAGUGUCGGAUGCCAUCACUAGGGACAGGCCACUGCAUGGGGCUUUCCAUGAAGAGGGUGCCUUCUGCAAGGGGCUGGCAGCUCUGAGGAGGGG
rnacentral:lncRNA from 1 species